rnacentral:lncRNA from 1 species
GCUACCAAGAACUUUCUUUCAUUCUAGAUAGCCAGAAAUUAAAACUUACAAGGGUGGGUAUUCAUGGCGCUUGCCACAUGAGGUUGCAUGAGAUCCACAUCUGAUUGCAAAUAGACCAGUUUCCAAAAGAUUGUGGGUUUCCAGAUGACACAAGAUCGACUGGCCGAACGAUUGUCGUAAUAUGUCGUUGGAAAGCCCAAUCAUACUGAUAGCUAUAGCCACGAAUAAUAAUGGAAUAGUUCCAUUCCAGGCACGUAAGAUUUAGAAGAUACACAUGUACAUUUAUAGGUAACGGAAAUCGUGGCUAUCGUCCAACCAGUCUAGUAUGUCUUCGGCGCAAGAAAUACCAGUAAACAACAAUAAAAUAAAAUUUAAAUAUGCUAUUCUACUAGUUUAGCAAUGAAAUGGUCUUAUUGUCUAGUAUUUAAUGACCGCUAUUUGAGUACCUAAUAAACCAUGAGCAUAAAAGCAUAUUAAUCUUUUCUCAAGAAAUACAUCAUUAGUUAUAGACAUUUAGUCGUGAAAAUUAUUGCGAGGAAAGAUUUUCUUGGAAUAAAUUCGAAGUCAUUGAGGGACUGCGCAGAACUUACUUUACCACAAUCAAACA